rnacentral:lncRNA from 1 species
GACACAACAGUGCUGUGUGUGACACAACAGUGCUGAGUGUGACACAACAGUGCAAUGUGUGACACAACAGUGCUGAGUGUGACACAACAGUGCUGAGUGUGACACAACAGUGCAAUGUGUGACACAACAGUGCAAUGUGUGACACAACAGUGCAAUGUGUGACACAACAGUGCUGAGUGUGACACAACAGUGCAAUGUGUGACACAACAGUGCAAUGUGUGACACAACAGUGCUGAGUGUGACACAACAGUGCAAUGUGUGACACAACAGUGCUGAGUGUGACACAACAGUGCUGAGUGUGACACAACAGUGCAAUGUGUGACACAACAGUGCUGAGUGUGACA